GGAGAAAAGUGGAAAGGACUUAGAACCCAACUGUUUACACAUGUAGAGCCAGACUUCACUGUGUCACUUCCUAUGAUCCACCAUGGCCCAACAAUUGUGGACAUUUGGAAGCUCCUGGGGGUGAGGAACUUGGAUAACUCAGGUGAAGAGGGAACUCCACUCCCUGAGCAAGGCAGAACUGAGCAGAGCCAUCUGGGAAUAUUCCUGAGAGCCAGAGCACAGGUGGACUCUGUAUCACUGAUAUACAACCAGUAGAUAGAAACCUGAGCAAGUAAACUUGAG
rnacentral:lncRNA from 1 species